GCACAUUUAUUCAACAAAGCUAAUUCCCUCACGGCCUCACGAAUGGUGAUGAUUAUGUGAUAGUUAUACAUAAAGUAUCAAGUAUGUACACUUUAUGUGUGAAAAACGCAUCAAGUAUGUAUGAUGUACAUUCCAUCUCUCACAAAUGGUGGAUCCUGUACAGAUCAAUGCUCCCUAGUUGUAGCCUGGAGGUUGAGUUCACGUCUCGUACACACAAGAACCGGAACCUGCAAACAUAAACAUUCAUCCAGUUCAGAACACAACAUCAGAGAAAAGAUACUUAAUAUUACCUGAAGAGAUUUGCUUGGAAUCCUGGGGAUGUUAUUUUAAUUUGUAGGAUUUGCGUUGGAACCGCUCUUAGUUACCUUAAGUGGAUCAUUGUGCCAAGGGAAUCGAGUUAUUGCUGGAAAGAAGGUACACCUGUAGGAAUAAUUCUUGCUCUCAAUCCAAUACAUUUGAUAAAAUGUGACUGAUUAAGCUUUUAGCCUUUUACAGUACUACAAUUUUCUCCUGGAAAUAUAAAGGCCGUGACUUCAGAAUACAUAUGGUACUGAUACAUUUCAUGCACAAAAGAAACAAUAAUAGUACGUACCGGUAUAGUUCAACUCGAUUCGCUCCAUAAGCAAGCUGUGAGGGAAGUGGGUAUCCCAUCCCCUGGCCUAUGGUUUUGUUACCACAGUAGUCACUAGAAGGUUCAUUGACCCAUCUUGCAUUAUCAGGCAGGCAACAACAGAGAAAGAGGCUCUUAGAAACUACUGUGCCGAGAUAUGUAUUCUAACAACUUUGCACUUUUGGAAUAUGUAGGUGGACAGUAUAAGAAGUCCUAAAAGACAAGGAAAAGGGAGCUUAGAAAAACCUGAAGGAUCCUUUGAUCAUUUUUGAGUUUUGGGUCGUUAAAAACUAUAGUAGGAAUUAAAAUUUAAUUUAGUGCUGAGUUAUUACGUGGAUUGUUAAAAAAUGUAUGAAAUAGAAUAAACAAUACUACUUAUAUAACCAUGGUAGUAGUCUUGUAGAUAUGUUUCUGCCACUACUAAUAAUAAAAUACAAGUAUGAUGCAUUAUUUCAUCUAUGCAUUAUCAGUAGGUCUAAAAGACUAUACCUAGGCCUCUUCCCAAAUCUGGGAAAGUAAAAGAGGUGGUGGUGAGUGAGCGGUGACGAAUCUUUCUAAUCAAAGUUUUGUUUCUGUAAAAAAAAAAAAAAAAAAAGGUUUUGUUUCUGUAAAAUAUAAAAUUAAGUAAAAUAAAUAAAAAUAAAAGUGGGUCCAGACGAUCUUAUUGUACACUGAGCCGGACAGAACUUACUCGGUUCCACGUGCGAUUGGCUUUCUAACCGGGACCACUGCUGGAGUAAAGCCGGUGAAGACGUGGUAAGCAUCGGGCGCACUUCUUUGAUAGUAUGUUUAAUCGAAACCGUUCACUUCAGUGAAGUGUGAGAACAUCGUACCAACCUGUCUGCUGUUUCGGAAUUCCUAUUUGUGUCUAUCGAAGAGGUUUGAUUUUCUCUGAAUAUGUAAAUUCUAAGGAUAAUUUUUAUUACGAUAAUUAUUUUUAAAAUUAUUGAUAUCUAUCUCUAUUUCUAUAUGGUUGGUGAAACUUCAUAUUCCUCUAUGCAUAAAAAAACUGAUUCUUUAAAUAAGUCACUUGAAAGAAAUCCAAUCCCAAACUCUUUGAUGUGCAUGUUUUCUUGUAUUUUUGUCUGUUUAUUUGUUUACUUUUAAAUAUAGAUCCUUUUUAGGUUUAGGUUAACAUUCUCAAACAAAUUUUAUUACGGUUUUUCUUUUGGGCUUAUUUCAAAAAAAAUUAGAUUUUUAAUUAGAAAGUAGAGAUAGAUAGGAAGAGACAAUUUCAUUUGGCGUUAUAGAUGAAAUGAAAGUUAGGCUUGCUGACUUUGGGUUUCGCGUAUAAGAUGAAAUGAAGACUAUGGUUCGUAAAUGUGGGUUUAGAAGAAAUCUUUCUAAUGAAAUUUAUUUUAAUAGUCAUUUAGGCCAAUAUUCUAACAAAUUACCUUGUCACUUAAGUCAUGGUUUUUAUUCUCCUAAGGUUCUAUCUUGAGUGAAAUCAUUUGAGAAAAAAUUUAUACAUGAAUAAAUAAUAAAGGCAAUUGUCAAUAAUAGCGCAUUUUAAGUUUUUGUCUCAAAAAUGACAUUAGAAGGAGAAAAUCACAAAAAUGACAUUUAUUAAAGGUUAAAAUAUUCAUAAUACCCUUGGUUUAAAAUUAAAUAAACAAAUAAAAAUAAAUAAAAA